UACGAAGGGGGCUAGCGUUGUUCGGAAUUACUGGGCGUAAAGCGCGCGCAGGUGGUCUUUCAAGUCAGUGGUGAAAGCCCGGAGCUCAACUCCGGAAAUGCCAUUGAAACUGUAAGACUUGAGGAUGAGAGAGGUGAGUGGAAUUCCCAGUGUAGAGGUGAAAUUCGUAGAUAUUGGGAAGAACACCGGUGGCGAAGGCGGCUCACUGGCUCAUAUCUGACGCUCAGGCGCGACAGCGUGGGGAGCGAACGGG
rnacentral:rRNA from 1 species